UAAAAAGGAUUGUUUUUAAGUGUUUAUGCAGGAUGAAGAGAAGCAUAGAAACAGCAGAAUAUGUAACAUGCUUUUCAUAGAAACGUCUCAUUGCCUUGCUGAUUUCAUCUUCUCUCUUGGCAACCAUAGCCUGCAAUUGAGUGACAGAGAGAGAAUAGACGUUAAGCUGAACUUUACAUCUGAUCUCAGUUAUAGAAGUGUUUGAGGAGAGUGAAGGGCGUAAACAUGGAGAGUGUUCACUGCUUGAUCUUGCCACAGUCUUGGAAAUCAAAAAGAAACUCUGUGAGGCUAACUCUGUGAGCGAGAGCCAUAUACCAGAUAGUCUCUUGGAGAGACUUAUCAGUGGUACUAUCGAAUUCCCACCAGCUUGUGCCAUUGUAGGUGGAAUAUUAGCACAGUUCUCUCUCCUUCACUCUCUUUUGUCAUUUGUAUAUCCUCUCACUGGAAACUUGUGAUUUGACUGACGUGAGAGGUUUGAUUGUAUUGCAGGAAGUGAUCAAAGCUGUAUCAGGGAAAUGAGACCCGGUAAAGAACUUCUUCUACUAUGAUGCUCAAGAUGGAAAAGGUGUGAUGGAAGACAUCUCCAACUCUUUUACCUCUUAACCACUGAGUCCUGAAUUUUCAUCUGACUCUGUGUUUUUAUAAACCGAAUUCUGUGUUCAUUCUA